AAUUCAACCCCUCUUUUUUCUGGUCAAAUGUUAGAAACUUAACACCGUUAAUGUGAACGUUUAAUUACUUAUUUACCCCUAUGAAUGUAACAUAAUGUUGACGUGGACAAACUUCCCACUUAAACGUGCAAUUAUUUCUCUCUCCUAUCCCUCUUCUUCAUCUUCUGAAGCCAAUUUUUAUCAACAGGGUUCUCUCUCUCUCUCUCUCUCUCUCUCUCUCUCUCUCUCUCUCUCUCUCUCUCUCUCUCUUUAUCUUCUUCUCCUCCUCCUCUAAUUUUACGUUUAAAUCCCAAGGCUCUUCAUAUUCCAUCGCAAAGCUUCUAUUUUCCAUUCUCGCCGCUUGGCGGUGCUGAAUUUCCCACGGCGGCGCUAGGGUUUCACAGGGGUUGCGAUUUUUUGGUUUUGGGCUUCAAUUAACAAAGAUUUCCUCCUUCAAUUCAGGGCGUGGUUUGAGUUUAUUUGGGGCGAUUUUCUUCAUCUAUGUUUUAUGAGAGAAUGAGAGUGGUGGAGUGCAGUUGCGGCGAUAGCAUAGCACCGGCGCCUCUGCUUCUGUUGGGGAUGAUGGUUGCGUGGUGGUUGUGUUAAGAGUGAAGAAGGCCUCGCUAAGGUAUCGCAGAGUAGCGAUUGCUUAAUUUUGUAUAAUUCGUUGAAGGGGAUUUUGGGUGAAAACGUGGAAGAAGAUAAUGGGUAUAUAUUUUUGGUGGAGUUGACGAUGUACUGUGAUAAUUGAGAGAAUCGAGUUUCAUUUUGGUUCUAGUGAGGUAAAAAAGUGAGUGUGGAAGCUCUGUUUUGUGAUAACAGAGA
rnacentral:lncRNA from 1 species